AGCAGCCGCGGUAAUUCCAGCUCCAAUAGCGUAUAUUAAAGUUGUUGCAGUUAAAAAGCUCGUAGUUGAAUUUCGGGAUCAAAGGAUCGGUCAUGCCUUGGUAUGUACUGGUUUUAUUGGUUCUCACCUUCUAAAGAACCAUAAUGUCAUUCAUUUGAUGUUAUGGGGAAUUAGGACUGUUACCUUGAAAAAAUUAGAGUGUUUAAAGCAGGCUCACGCUUGAAUACAUUAGCAUGGAAUAAUGAAAUAGGACGUUUGAUUCUAUUUUGUUGGUUUCUAGGAUCGACGUAAUGAUUAAUAGGGAUAGUUGGGGGCAUUAGUAUUCAAUUGUCAGAGGUGAAAUUCUUGGAUUUAUUGAAGACUAACUACUGCGAAAGCAUUUGCCAAGGAUGUUUUUCAUUAAUCAAGAAACGAAAGUUAGGGGAUCGAAGACGAUCAGAUACCGUCGUAGUCUUAACCAUAAACUAUGCCGACUAGGGAUCGGAUGAUGUUAAUUUUUUUAAUGACUCAUUCGGCGCCU
rnacentral:misc_RNA from 1 species